rnacentral:lncRNA from 1 species
ACUAGACUAAUGGUUUCAGUGUAAAACAUAUUGAAACCAUUGGUUGCUUAUCAAAAAAAAAAAUAUUGAAACCAUUGGUCUAGGUAAAUGGUUUCAAUUUGUAGUGAUGUAUUUAUAUCAUAUGGUGCUAGUUCUUCUUUUGGGCCUGAUAUAUAUAAGUGAAGCAUAUAUAAUAAUUAAGAUCCAUGUUAUAGGCUAGAUGUUUGAAAAUGUUUAUAGAUAGUAGUAGUAAUUAAUGGCAUGAAAAAAGUUUUCUAUUAGUAGUAAUAAUAUAAUCUACAAAAAAAGUGUUCUAGUUAACAAACCUGGAUGUGACAAUGCAUCAGUUAGAGGAAAUGACAUUGUAGCUAUAGAGACACAAAUCAGUAACUACAGAACUAGCAAGACAAAUCAGUAACUGCAGAACUGACCAUGAGAUCACACAUUCAUGCAGUUAGUUAGUUAAUUUGCACCAUCAGAUUAGUCCUUUACUUGCAUCUACUUUCUCUUGAAACAAAAGAUUUGUGUGAAAUUCAAUGGUUUAAGUUCACAUACUGCAUGAAUGCGCGAUAACUUGGCAGCAUAGAAAUUGGUUUUCUUUGUCAAUAUCAUGUUUUAAUAUUUUUUAAAACAACUGCUUAACUUUCAGGGCAUGAAGCGUCCAUUCAAGCCGAUGAAAGACCUCAACACGGACAAGGUUAUCUUUGAUAUCAUUACCGAUUUAUCAAAUUCUAGCUGAUUCUGGUUGUUUUACAACUCCGCUCUUGGCUUGA